CGGAGGGUGCGAGCGUUAUCCGGAUUCACUGGGUUUAAAGGGAGCGUAGGUGGGCUGGUAAGUCAGUGGUGAAAUCCCCGAGCUUAACUUGGGAACUGCCAUUGAUACUAUCAGUCUUGAAUACUGUGGAGGUUAGCGGAAUAUGUCAUGUAGCGGUGAAAUGCUUAGAUAUGACAUAGAACACCAAUUGCGAAGGCAGCUGGCUACACAAUUAUUGACACUGAGGCUCGAAAGCGUGGGGAUCAAACAGGAUUAGAUACCCUGGUAGUCCACGCCCUAAACUAUGGAUACUCGACAUACGCGAUACACUGUGUGUGUCUGAGCGAAAGCAUUAAGUAUCCCACCUGGGAAGUACGAUCGCAAGAUUG
rnacentral:rRNA from 1 species